UUUGUACUUAGUUGACGGUACACCUGUUUAAAAUGUAACGAAAUUUUAUUAAUUAUAAAUGUGGAGUUGUAAAAAGUUUGAGGGAGCAAAUUUGGAAGUUAUAGUGAAGUACAGUCAGCAGGUGUUUUCAAUUAUUAAAUUUAUUACAGGAUGUUUGGAGUUGAAGUUAAAAGUUGAAGUUUAAAAUAAAUAAAAUUAAUAUUAAAUAGUUUCUUGACGUGGUUGGGUACAGUCAGUCACAAUUAUUGUUGUUGACUUACGUUUUUUUUUAAAUAACUUACCGAUAUUCAAAUAGCCGUUUACCUUUAAGGUCGAAUCUUAUUGUAGUAGUUUCCACAAUUGUUUCGUACGGGAGUUAUGUUUAUUACCUACUUUUCCUUAUCUAUUGUCUCGACUUAAAUCGAGUUUUUUCCUUAUUGUUGUUAUUUUAGGUGAAGUAAAUAUUUACUUAUUAGUUAAUUAUCGGUGAUUGCGCGUUUUUUUUGUUGAUGUUCGGUAGGAGUUUUUUUUAUGGUUGCGUGCAGGAGUUUUGUUUACGUAUUACUUUCUUUCGAUCGUGUCUGAGCAAACGUAACUCAGGCACGUGGUUUGUUUGUUGUUGGGGGGCGAAGAGGACGAUUUAAAGACUCUUCGCGUGUUUUACCGGGGUGCUGGCGUUUUAAACCAGUAUUCCAAUCGGCACUGGCUGGUCGGGUUCUGGCGGACUUUAAACCGUCAGGCUCUUAAUAGCAGUGCCAUCUUCUUUGUUAACGCUUUGCGGUAUGACUUAAAUCAUAUGCGUGAACGUUAAUGUUGAUGUUAGGGGGUUGUUAUGUGGUACACGCCUUAAAGCGUUGUCCGCAAACAUCGGAUUUUUUUUGUCAGACUGACAGACUUGCAUUGCCUGAAAUGGAGCCUGUACAGUCGACUUCCUUGUGUGUCUCGUGUUGUUUCGAACGUUACCGUCUGCCUGUCGUUUAGACACAGCUGGUCAAUGUAUCAUGUGUUGUGUUAUUGUCUGAUUUCCGCGUUCAGACCUGUGACGUCUGACAGUCACGGCCUGAUAUGCGCGCUAGGUAUAUUUGAAUUAGUUGUAUUAGUUGUAGUAGCAGUCACCGAUCUUAGUUAGUAAAUUUCACUUGGCUAUAUGCCGUCUUCCGCUGUAUCUCUUGGACGCAUAACCCGCGGCUUGGGCCGUUCGUUAUGCCACCAAGAAAUAUACGCGAUGCGACGUUUCGUGGUAAUGUAGCUUAGAGCUUUACUUGCGUACGUCAAGUCUUUAUAAAGUAAGUCUUGUUUAGUGCGUGGGUUCGAUUUUUUUUUGUUAGUUAGUUUUUUUUACCGGUAGGUAAUUGUCUAGGUACUUUCCGCGGGUGGUUUUGCGAACUGGGGACCAGCUCAAAAUUUUGCCGUAGUCAAAAUUUUCUUCGGGAAGGGGAGCACUGUAACAACAAAAUUUUAAUUCUUCAUUUUUUUUUCAAUAUUGAACAGUAUGUGACCCUGACCCAUAUUCGUUUGAUACCCUUAACGCCAUCUAGCGAGCUCAGUCGAUAACAACAUGGUCCGGGUUGCUAGAUUAAAAAUAAUUUCGGUGCCUUCCUACAUUUUUGGUUUUUUUAAUCGCAGGUCGUUGUAAAUUAAAAUUGUCUUCAAAUAUUUUUUUUAUUCGUCGGCGCGUUGUAUUCAAUAUUAUUCUAAGCAAACUAAAUAGGAAAGAAAGCGUUUUUUUUGUCAAGUCAUGUGGUGUUCGGCCGAGCCCCGUUCGGACUCUGGUAACCCCGUCGUUUGAUCUGUCACCGAUGGCUCGCCACGUAGCUAGCCGUUCUUUUUGGAUUUGGAAGAGAUCGUAGCAAGGUGGUUCGUUUCCUUUGCCCAGCGGCCUGGUGCUGUCUGAUGGCUUCUACCUAUAUCGCGGUUUAAGCCGCCUAAUCCUCGUUGGAUGUGAAUCGUCCUGGAAAUUGAAGCCCCGGGUGCAUUGAAAUUAUGCAAGUCCUUUCCUACGCCCGCUUAUUGUCUGCCCCGGGUAAGCAGCGACCUACUCGCAGUCCAGUAUAUUUAUUCGAUUCUGUGAAUGUCUGUUCCGUUACUUAGUAGUUUUAUAAAUUUCAGGGUUUCAAGAUUUACCGUCUUUAUUACGAGUUUACGGGGUGGCCUCAAAAUGCCAGCUUCUGCAAGCCGAGCUACCAGUGGCAAGGAGCUGUGCCUGGCGUUUCCAUACUUCCACGCAGAGGUUCCUGACCAACGUGGCGGUUGUAUUGUUUACGGUCUUUCGAAGUUUUGGAGGUUAGAUCGACCCUUUAUCUAAUAUGUAUUACUGAACCAGAGAUGCUGGUUCUGGCGCCCUCAUACCCUUAGUAACUUUUAAGUUUGUCCGUCAGUAGGCCGCUUCUACCAAAACAUUUUAAAAAAGAGUUCGCUAUACCCAUAACUGUUCCCUCAACACUUAAAUAAGAGUCUGAUGCUCAUGUUAUUUAGAUAAGAGCUAGUUUACCUUAAGUUCCUGUCAUUAAGGCCCUUAAGGCUCUCCGGGUUAGUUUUGAAAUUAUUUAAAUAAAUGUUUUAUUCAUA